GGGUCGAAUCCUCCCGCUCUUGCGUCAGCGUCAACACCACUUGUCAAUACAGAGAAACGGCGACGUUUGUGUUCCAUUGCUCUGCAUUCAAGUUCCAUGGUUGCAGCAAUGCCGCCGAAGCUGAUAACUUUGCAACUGCUGAUGUGAAAACACAUAUGAAUCGCUACUUGUUGAUUGCUACUAGUGGAGGCUUAAACCAACAAAGAAGAGGGCUUAUAUCUUGAAUGCUACUCUUGUUGUUCUCAAGCUCGACCAGAAAUCGUUUUGGAAGGAUUCCAGGUCAGUUUCAACAUAUCACAGUUAAAGAACUAUUGUCAGAGUAUUUAUAAUGUUAUUUCGUGUAUUUGGUGCAGCAGCUUCGAUGCAAUCUUUGAUGUGGACUGGUUUAUAUCAUCUCUCGCAGAAGACGUUGAAAUCAUUAAACAGCUUCCAACGAAGGGAGGAAAAUCAACGAGUCCCAAGGAAGUGUAAUGCAAAAUGCUACCAGAAUCGUUUAGUGUCUGUUCUUAAUAAAAAGCUUGUAAGUGUCUUUCAGGAGGCGUAAAUAGACUCCUAUUCAGAUUUUGAAACUUGCAAAUUAAAGCCACUGGAACAUCUUUUGCUGUUUUCUUUUUUCUUUUCAUUUUCCCUGAUGCUUCUUGCCGUAAGGCACGAAUGUUUA